GAGGGCCGCCUGCCUGGCCGGACCCCAGGGGUGUCGGACGGUGGGCAGGGCCUCCUGGGAUCCCUGAGGCGCCGGCAGGAGGAGACGCCCUGGGGUCGGUGCCUCCACCUUCCCGUCCGGGCGGUUACAGCUUUCCCGCGUUCGCUGUCAGAGGCAGGGACCGGCGACCUCGGGGGCCUGGUCCCUGAGCCACAGCGGGGAGUCGUCCGAGCAUCUCGGGAUGAGGAAGGCCCAGCUCCCCUGCUGCUGUCAGAGUGUCCUGCUUCCCCCCCUCAGGAAAGCACACCUUUCCUGGUCUCCUCCUCCCUGGAAUCUUGAACUCUGGUGAAGAACAUGGUGAAAUGUUCCAAGUGUAGCAGGGGCGUUACUGAAAGGGAAAAUCGUAACCGAUCAAGUUGAAUCAAAAAAGAGGAAAGAAAGCCCAUCGCGUGUGACAGACAAGAAAGUGCUACCGUUAAAAGGCAAACAGUUCUAGAGUGUGAGUAUAAUAUCAGGAUGAUUUGACUGCAAGCAACAGAGAAUCAAACAGAAAUGGCCUAGGGAGUCCCUUCGUGGCUCCCCAGUUAACAAUCUGACUGGAUCAUGAGGAUGCAGGUUCAAUCCCCGGCCUCUAUCAGUGGGUGAAGGAUCUAGUGCUACCAUGAGCUGUGCUGUGGUGUAGGCUGGCGGCCGCAGCUCCAGUUGGACCCCUAGCCCGGGAACUUCCAUAUGCUGUGGGUGCAGCCCUAAAAAGCAAAAACAAACAAAAAAAUGAAACAAAACAAAACAAAAAAUCCACAAAAAAAUCAGAAAUGGCCUAAACAAAGAAGAAAACGUGUUAUCCCAUACUACAAGAAGUUUGGGGGUUGAGUGGUUAAACGCAUGAUUAGUUUAGAAACUUGACAGCACCACCCAGGACCCAUUUUCCCUAAGGCGCUGCUGCCCCCCACCCUGUAGGCUUAGCCACCGCAGCAAAGACACCCCCCUUCCCCAACCAGAGCCCUGCGUCAGGACUGGAAGGGGCCUCCUUCCCUCCAUCCCCUUCCAGAACCUCCGCAGAAGACUCCCCUUGACGUCUCAUUCCAUCCCAUACUGGUCACUUGGCAGGGGGAACGGAUUUACCAUGGUGGCCAGAGACAAAUUAAGUCGCCUCUGGAUCAUGAAGAGCCCCCAUCUCUGGAGAACACUUGACCACUCAGUACCCAGCAACUCGGGUACUCCUGGCAAGAAAGAGACAGGUGAUACCCACUGGGUCCUGUCCACAGCGCCUGCCCCCAGCAACCUGUCUACCUGGAAAACUGAGGGGGUGCCACGCGGGUCUGUGUCUUCUCUGUAGUUUGCCCGAGUCUUUCCCAUUAGGUAAGUGUCGCCCUUUUCCCUCUUUGCGGCUUUCCUCCUUGGCACGUCACCCAGGUUUUGUUCAGCCACAAGGGGCGAUAGGCUGAAAGAGGAAUCUCCAGGCCUAGGUGAUGGGCCAGCCGUGGUGAUCCUCACCCGUUUGCCUGGGCACCGUUUGGGAAACGUCCCCCUGCUCACCACGGAGAUGAAAGACCAGGUCCCUGGAGGGGCUUCGCGGAAGGAUUUUUCUCCCCAGUAAAGCGGCAGACAAGCCAGAGGUCCGCCGCCCUACGCGCCGUCUGCCUUUGAGCCGCCGCCAGCUCACACCCUUGAGCAGAAACGUUGCAGGGAGGCAGAAAGCGCCGAGUCUCAUGGAUCGUGCUGAGCGUUGCAUCCACCCAGGACUGCUUACCUUCAGACUUCUGCUCCGGUGGCAGAGCAGCAAACCCCUAUUGUGUAAGCCUUUGUAGAUGGCUGGUGCCACUUGCUGCUGAAAGUGACAGAUAAUCUUUCUAGGAAUAUAACCCCUAAAGCCCUUUAUGGUAACAGAUGCACUUAGAGAAUGUAGUUUUCUUUCUUUUUCUUCCUUAAAAAAAAAAAAAAGCUGAAGUCUGCCUCAGGCAAAAAGACAAACUGA
rnacentral:lncRNA from 1 species